GACUUUUCAAGAUUAAGGCUGUCCCAGCGACCAUCAACUGGAAUCAAAGGGCUGGACCAGUCUGGCUUGAAUAAUUAUCCCUGCCUGCAAGAAAAGGGUAAUGCUGCUGCCUUACAAAGCAAAAGGACUGGAAGAUCACACCUACUUACUGCCAGAGAGUGCCUCCUGAAAGAUGGCCUCCAUGCCCUCACAGCCCCAGCCGAGGCGGAGUGGAAAUACCAAAUGCCUGCCUAGGACAGUCAGCCUGGUGCGGACCCAGCAGGUACCCUCUGUCACAUGGACACUGAAGGGCACAGCACACACUGGGUGAGCUGCUGCAGCUGUUGGCUCUGAUUUCUUCAUGAGAAGAAGUCAGCGCCUGCAGUAGCUGGAGCCAAGCAGGAUGGCGGUCCAGGAAACCAGCCACACCACCCUCAACCUAGGCAGUGAGCUCCAUGGGACCCCUUCCAGGUUGGGGGCAGCUCAGCUCCAGAGUUCCCACUGCUGAGGACAAGUCGUUCCUGCAGGCAGGGCCACCCCAGGCCUGGAACCUCAGCAGGUGAGAUCAGUGGUUGUGACGCACA
rnacentral:lncRNA from 13 species